UACGUAGGGGGCGAGCGUUGUCCGGAUUUAUUGGGCGUAAAGAGCGUGUAGGCGGCUUGGUAGGUCCGCUGUGAAAACUCGGGGCUCAACCCCGAGAGGUCGGUGGAAACCAUCUGGCUAGAGUCCGGAAGAGGAGAGUGGAAUUCCCGGUGUAGCGGUGAAAUGCGCAGAUAUCAGGAGGAACACCAAUUGCGAAGGCAGCUCGCUGGGACGUUACUGACGCUGGAGACGGCGAAAGCGUGGGGAGCAAACAGG
rnacentral:rRNA from 1 species